UGCGUAGGCGGGCAGGUAAGUCAGUGGUGAAAUCCUGGAGCUUAACUCCAGAACUGCCAUUGAUACUAUCUGUCUUGAAUAUUGUGGAGGUAAGCGGAAUAUGUCAUGUAGCGGUGAAAUGCUUAGAUAUGACAUAGAACACCUAUUGCGAAGGCAGCUUACUACGCAUAUAUUGACGCUGAGGCACGAAAGCGUGGGGAUCAAACAGGAUUAGAUACCCUGGUAGUC
rnacentral:rRNA from 1 species